UAAGAAAGUAACAGGUGGCACGGAUGUGGC
rnacentral:piRNA from 1 species